GUGAGUUGGGGAUUAGCCUCAACCCCUUUUGGCUUUGAUAGAAAUCCUUCUCAGAGACUCUCGGAACAGAGUGGUGGUAAAGCACCACCUGGGGCCUGUGGGAGGCCAUUUUGGACCCAGUUCUCAGUUUCCAGGGCUGUAGAUGUCCCUGGAUGGGGCCAGCGCCUGGGGUCCCCCCACCACCCCACACCAUACCAACUCUUGUUAUUAGCCAUUUAUCUAGCCACUUAGCACUUUCUCUUGGAAGUGCCACGCUUUGGGACACUUGGAGGUUCUGACACGGGAGUUCCUGAUAGUCUGCUUCUGGGUAGAGAUAAUCCUGAUGACUGAGGUGCCUGAAACCCCUCCUGCUGCUGAGCUGAGCCCCGAGGUAGGACAAACACCCCUCUGGGCAAGUACAGAAUGGAAACUGAAAUAGAAAUAAACUCCAACAAAAGCAAACUUCCUGGGGUUUUCCUCCUGCCUCCUCACACACACACCUCUGAAAGGUGUGUGUCUCAGAAGCAAUGGCCUGGACCAGGAGUCCUGACCUUGCUGUGUGACUUUGAGCAAGGCCGGGCCCUCUUUAGGCUUCGGUGAACUCAGCUGUGAGUGAGGGGUAGGAUUUGAUGAUUUCCAGCGUCUCUGCUUCCAGUGCCUUCACGUUAUGGCACCCAGGGCUUGUGACAAGAGCAGAAGGAAGCCAGGCCCAUUCCUGGUGGACUUGAAGGUGUUAGCUCUUUGUUCCCUGGAAGAGUGUGGCCACGGCAUUAGGGAGGGCUUGCCACUGCUCUGUCCACACACAAUUAGGGCUUAGGUGACUCAGAAGCGAACACACCAUGUGUUAAAAUAAGAGUUGGUGUUUCUGAGAAGGGAAGUCCAGGAGCUGACCAGGAUGGGAUUAGCUGUUGAUAAGGGGCCCAGCAUUGUUCUAGCUCUCCCCUGAGGCCCACACCACAUCCUAGAAGAGAAGCCAGGUCCCUCGGCCCUACCAGGGCUGGGACAGUCGGGGCACAGCUGCAGGAGACGCCCUGGGAGGCUGUCUGGGCUGCGGCAGGAGGAGGCAGGGCAGGGCAGUGCAGUGGUUGGGAGGUGGCCACUCUGCCUCUGUUGAGUUUUCUGGCUUUGUCACUUGACGUUGAUUCUCCCCCAGGGCCAGAGUGGGGUCAAGUGGGGACCAUGGAGGAGGACAUGAGAUCCUAACAGGCGACCUCAAACUGCUGUACAAGCCCAGCAACCCUGACCGCUCCCCAACCCACAACCAGCAAAGGUCAAGGCCAGUGCCAAGGAGUGCGGGGAGGGCGGCGUGGGGGACUCUCCAGUUUAGACUCUUCAGUCUCGAAAAACAAAGGCUGACAGGAAUGUGAGGAAACCACUGUUUACUCUGUUUUCAAGGGUGUUCCACUGAAGUGUGUCCCGAGAUGUUUCCAGAAGGAGGAUGACGGGGGUGGUGCUGAAGAGGCUCUGCCAUGGGAACCGGAGCCGGAGAUGCCGGCCAGAACUCUGGGUUCUCUGGAAGUGGUGGGAGGAAACCCGCAGGAGGGAAGAGGCCAUCUCUCCUUUAACUCCUAGGGGAACAGACCGCAGGGGCUGAGGGUGCUAGCCCUUUCUGAAGCUGAGAGGGAGCCGGAAAGGAAGGGACUCAGGGGAUCUCAUGGGAGCCAGAAGGGCCCAGACUUAGGAUCCGAAAUUGUGCCUAUGAGAGUGUCCUGUGCAAGAUCCUCUUGUUGGCAAACUCUAACCUGGGAGCAUGAGGAAGAGGACUGCGGGGAACGGUUUCCAGCCCUACGUAGACAUGGUGGUGGUGACGUGUUGACACAUGGGGGCUCCGCUUCGGACUUCGCAAUGAAUAAGGCCAGGGAACUGCAGCUGAUGGCUGGGUCAUCCGAGAGACCUUCAAUCUUUACUUUCUAUAAUGACAGAGCAAACCAUUCUAUUUGCUAUUUACUUUCCUGAUGGUAUCUUCAAGAAACUUCUGGAAAUAGGUCUUUGUGUCAACCAGAAACUGCUGGUCAGAGGAUAAGUUCUGGAGUUUUCUUGUAGAGCAUGGAGACUGCAGUUAAUAAUAACAUAUCAUAUACUUGAAGAUUGCUGAGAGUAGAUUCUAAACAUUAUUAUUUAUUUAUUUUCUUAGUUUUUUCGCCCCACUUCAAUAAGCUAGUCGAAGACAGUAGAUUUUAAAUGUUCUCACCACAAAAAAUGGUUAAGUAUGUGGGAUGAUAAAUAUGUUUGAUUUACUCAUUCCACAGUGUGUACGUAUAUCAAAGUAUCAUGUUGUAAACUAUAAAUAAAUAUCAUUUCUUAUUUGUCAAUUAAAAGUGUAACACACACAUAUGCAUGCACACUAUAUAUAAAUACAUCUUUUAAAACUGCUGGUCAGGAAUCAGACGGCCUCCACGGGUGGUGUCACAGGGCUGCCCCCCGCAGCCUCCCUCAUGGUUCUGAGCCCUCCUCAGUCACUCUUUUGUUUAAUGCUUUAAUCCCUGCUUUAAGUAGGAAGCUUCCCUUCAGCUCAUGGGAGGCCCUUAUCUUACCGGUGGUCAAAUAGAUAUGGGAAACAUUGCCUGCUCUGUUUUUGGUGAUUGGCGGUGCACGUGAGUAUAUUAAAGACUCUAAAAACGCAUUUUUCAGAGCAUGUCUAUGACAGCUUGCAGUGUUGGAUGUGAAUGGCUUCUUCAAUGCCAAUGUGCAAUUAAACGGGAGGAACAGAGAUGCUGUCUUGGGAAGUACAGACACAGGGAGAAAAGAGUCAUGAGGCUGGCUAGUGACGAAGACAACUCAAGAAGACUUUGUGUACACUUGCCACGUUACGUCACGCAAGAUAGGAGUUGUCAAUAAUUUCCAAAUUAAUAUAUUGCACAAAAGGCCUGGGAGUUAUUGUUGCUGUCGACAGCACAGUGUUGGUGAGUGCCCCUCCCUAGCAUGUAAGAUAACAUCUGUCUCGGCCUCUGUAAUUAAGAACAGAUGCGAAUCCAUUUCAACCUUUCCAUGCUCUAGGAGGAAAGGGCUGCCAUGCAAAUGAGUCAAGCAGGCAAGUGUGCACUACAAAUCUUUUCACUUCGGAAGGGCAAAUAUUGAUUUCAAACUUCCUAGAAGUACCUGUUUGAAGCCCUGUCAGUAGCCCAACAGAUUCAGAAAAGAUAUCCUUCCCCGCUUUAGACACCCGACCACCACUUGCCAGAGAACAGUCAUAGAUGUUCAAAUUCCCCAUCACGACCAUGUGAAGGGGCCACUAGAGCUUGCAGUGCACUUGCGACACCUAUGGGCAUGGAAUCUCCAUAUUUUCAAGACAUACCACGGGUGGUUCAUGUUCUGAGGGUUGUCUGAUGGAGGACAUUCUAUCAGCUUUUACUUGGAUCUAUUGAAUGUCCUUUGACGACAAACACUAUUCUCCAAAAAAUUUCCACUUUUUAUUCUCUCUUAAUUCCUUUCUCUCCUCUGUCUGCUGUCAUCUGAUUGAUAAAAAUCCUACUAGCUGCCUGCCCUGUCCUGUCCUAUUCAUAGGGACAGCCACCUACCUCUGUGGGCUUCUCUUCUCCCUCUCCCAGCUGCCUGUCCUGUCCUGGUCCCUUUUUUUUUUUUUUUUUUGAGACAGUGUCUCACUCUGUUGCCCAGGCUGGAGUGCAGUGGCGUGGUCUUGGCUCACUGCAAGCUCCUCCUCCCGGGUUCACGCCAUUCUCCUGCCUCAGCCUCCCACGUAGCUGGGACUACAGGCGCCCGCCAUCACACCUGGCUAAUUUUUUUGUAUUUUUAGCAGAGACAGGGUUUCACCGUGUUAGCCAGGAUGGUCUCCAUCUCCUGACCUCGUGAUCUGCCCGCCUAGGCCUCCCAAAGUGCUGGGAUUACAGGCGUGAGCCACCUUGCCUGGCCUGUCCUGGUCCCUUGAGGUGGCUUUCCUCCCUGAAUCUGCUCCUGUACAGUCCUUAUGGUCCCCUGAUUUGCAUCUUUGCUCCUUCCUCCCCAGGCUGUGGGAACCUCCAAGAGAAGGGAGACGGAGAGCCCUGCUCAGAACAAGUGGCCUAUGAAGCUGUGGCUGGGUCCCCAGGGUCCUCGGCCUUCCUUGUUCAUGGAGGGGGUGUCCUGUGGGUGUGGGGACAGUGGGCUCAGGUGGUCGGGCCAGCAGUGAGGUCUGGCGAGUGAGCUGGUCAAGCAGGCAGAGUAACCAGAGGUGAAGAUGAACGCCAUGGAUUUGGGCACGCAAGAGCUGGCUCCUGGGAAAAUCAGCUAGGGCUGGCAGCUUAAGACAGAAAGGUUCUCCUAAGUCCAGGGAAGGGGGUCAAAGUCCACAAAGCAAGGACCUUGCCCUCACCCUCCCAGUAAGUGACACAUAGAUUAGGUCAGAUACUUGAGCGGGGCUGUGAGACUUAGGCACAUCCCACGUGUGGCAGAUACUGAUGGGGUGAGACGCUGAACCUGGAAUGGAGCUCUAAAUUUGAAUUCCAGUUCAGCAGUAAACUCACCACAUGACCUUGGAAGAGACCGUGCACCUCCCUGAGCCACAGAGCCCUUUACUGCAAGCUGAGGAUAACACCCGUCCUCUGCACCCCAGAAGUGUGUUGGGAGGAGAAAAG
rnacentral:lncRNA from 1 species